UUCCAUCCCUCGCAAAAAGUCACUGCCCUCUCACCCACUCAACCUCAGUGCCACUGCCGAUCAAAAUUCCCCCUUAUCCUCGUCGCACCGUCUCUCUGUCUUCACUCCUCCUCCGAUUGAGCUUCUCUUCGACUUCGUCCACCUCACGGCCUCAACCCAUCUUCUUCGUCUUCCCUUUCUCCACCGUCACAACGUUCUCUUCGUAUCCCUUUCCUCCGCCAUCAACUUCUCCAAAACCCAAAGUUCUCUAUUUCUCUCUCUCUGCUCGAGGCCAAACCAGCAAAUGGAAUAGGAAGCUAGUGGUGCUUCAUGGGUAGAAGCAGUGGAUGGAUAGUACAUAUAUGUUCAGCUUAGAGGGUCUCAUCCCUAAAUUGUGUCAACUGCUCAAAAAGUAGGGGAAUAUAAAGGACCUAUCUACCUAUGCUCAGCUGCAUUACAAGGUCUGUCCUGUAUGAUACAGAGUCAUGCACAGAAGUAUUUCCUGAAAGUUCAAAAGAAUGGAACAAGUGAACAUGUACCUCCCCCUCGGCCAAAAAGAAAGGGUGUUCAUCCAUGCCUAGAAAAAGCACCUAAAAAUGGAAAAUGAAACGACAUUGGCUGGAAGGGCAAUGAGUGAUAUUUGUGAAAUACAAAGUUUUUAUCAGCAUUACUACCAAGAAUAUAUAAAAUCGCUGCACAAUGUUGCUGAUCAGGAUUGGUAAGAUUGUAUUCUAAAUCAAUUAAUAAUUUGAUCAUUAACUUGAUUUUAGCUGCCUUACAUUUCAUAAAUAGCAAAAAUUUCCCUCAACUCUCUUAAUAUAGUAUUCUCCCUUCCGUUAAAAAAUAACGUUGAAAUUAACUUCAUAUCUUUUUCCAAUGCCCAGAUCACAAAAGCGUAUUAGAUUGCUGCUAUUUUGUAUUUUAGGUAUCGGAUGAUGGUAGAUAAGGAUAUAACUAUAGUAAGCUUCUAUUUGAUAGAUCAAAUGUCAUUGAAAAUAAAAAAUAAAAGAGAGGAUAAAAUCCCCUUUAAUAUGCUCCUGAAGUUUAUAUUUGUUGCAGCACCUGAAACUAUGAAUAAUCAAUUGCAAUGUGUUUAAUUUAUCAUAUAUGAAAUGAGGAUUUUGAUGACACUAGUGUAUCAUGUUUACAAGUGUUCUGUCAAUGGCUAAGGUAAAUGUUGGCUUUUCUCUAUAAUUAUGUAAUUUAUUACUUCUUUGAAAUGAAGGUGGAUGUGAAUUGUGUAACGCAGGUAUUGCUUCAAGGGGCCAAAAAAGCUGUGUCCUUGGCCUAGGUUUCUCUCUCUCUGUUCCUAAUGAUUGUAUUUUAACUAUAAUCUCUUAGUGAUAAGCAUGGACUUAAAGAGAAAAGCGGAACAUUAUUUUAUGGUUUUGGUUUCCAAUGUCUGAUUAUAAAUUAACCUACCUAGCUUGGGAGCCAAAAGUAAUAUGGCAUUUAACUUUUAAGAAUAUGACUAUAAGCUCCAUUUUGUGGGGAUAUUGGGAUUGCCAUUUAUUUUAGUAUUAUUGGCUUUAAUCUUUUGGAUAAUGUGCUGUGUAGGAUUUAAUUGUGGGGAGGCUACCAAUAUUGCAACACAUGAAUGGUUUCAUAUUUCCAGUUACUUUAUGAUCUUGCCUUGGCUGUGUUUGAGGUUUGUCCUUCCCCUCGACCCAAAAUCUUGAAAGAAAUAUUUCUUUCAUUUUCUCCAAUGGUCGAAAGAUGUUAUAGAAAAUUGAUGCUGGUGUUAAGCAAAUACAGUUAGAAAAAGAUAUUUCAUAUUGAAAAAUGUUUGGUUGACGAAUCUAUAUACAAACUUAUGUAUAUGCUCAAGUUAUGAUUAAAUUAAAUGUUUUUAUAAGACAAUUUACACGUUUUGGUUUUCUUUGGUAAGAGCUAAUUUAACAUGCUCAUGAAGAAUUCCUAGGGGCGUCAAUUUUGAACCACUGAGUUCUUGGCUUAGAGAUAAAGAGGAAAAGUGAAGGGGAAACUGUAAUUGAAGAACUAUUUGUCCAGAGCGUGUUAGAGAACAAUGACUUGCUUCAUGGUCUUGGUAAAGGAUCUACUAUAGCACUUCUUCCAUAGAGGUUUAGAACCAUAGAUGUUUUGUCUUUUGAGAAUAUAUAAGCUAUAUGAAUGUUUGUUUCCUUUCCAAAAAAAAAAAACAGCUGUACUUUUUAUAGCAAUCACCAGAUUUGGAAAUUUUUAUAUUCUACAUUGGUCUAUGUGUUAGAAAAUUUUGUUUGCUACAUUGGUUUAUAAUCUCUAGGUUUUAUAGAUGCAAAGCUGUCGAAAAUUUUAUGGUCCAUUAGCCACUAUUGUUUUGUUCUAAGGAAGCCUUCCAUGCAUUGUAAUCAAGAUUUUGGUUAGAGUGUGAUGCUUUAGACAAUUUUGCAGUUUGUUA